CCUCAGACUGACCCACUACCCUAAGGAAAGCAAUCAGCCUCUUUCCUGGUGGUCCAUUGCCACAUGCUGUUAGAGCAUCUGCAACAAGCUAAGAUGUGGACAAUGCAACCAAAGUACCACGAACAACUCAGCAAUUCCAUGAGCGUAAAGAUCUGGUUCACUGUUCCACAGCCACUAUAGACAAAGGACUUAAGCCUACAGCCCUGAGAUCAAAGUCUCCUAUCUGUCUCCUCUCAUUCCUGAUGGCUGCAAAAGAUCAGAGGCCAAUGAUUCAUUCAUGACGUAUUGCUGUACACGGAAAGCACGCUGGGCCUAAUCUCAUCACCCUGUUAUGCUCAGCACAUGUGCACACCUGCACAUACAGAGAGACAAUUCUAGACCUGGACCCUGGCUUCAGGAUCAAACAGAUCAUUGUAAAGGCAGUCUCUGUUCAACACUCAGAAUAGGAAGGAGUACCCCUCUGAAAACAGUCCAGCCACAGUGGAUUGUACAAAAGAAAGUAAAACAAUACCAUGUUGAAGUAAAUAAGAAAAUUACAAACAAUUGAAAGAUUUUCAUUCUCAGCGCAAUGAAACAAGGCAACAAAACCCACUGAAUAAUUAAAAAAAGCUGGGAUUGUUAUUGAGUUGAAAUGGUCUCAGGUAGAAUCUAAUUUCUGCACAUGCGAUCAAAACAGAGUUAUUGAAUUCUCUACUGCUUAAGGGCCUUUGUGUGUUUUCUUUUGGUGGAAAAAAGAAAAUCUUGUGACCUAAAUAAUUCAGAUAUAGAUUAUGUUUCCCUGUUUUUUCUCACCAAAGGUCAAUUGAAUUUACUCUGGGAAAUACCAAACAUACAAUCCAACUGUGGCAGUCUGUUUAAGGAGAAAAGACAUCUGAUCAAGUGCUUUUGAUUCUGCUGUUUUCUGCU